AGAGCUAAAUGCCCCAGUUUAUGAUUGGAAACUAUCAAUUAGUUCUCCCUUGAAAUUGGAGAAUCGGCUUCCUUGUGGAGCUGAUUUCACGAUCUGGGAAAAAUUGAAAGAUGGCAACACUGUAGAGCGACAUCGGGGUUUUAUGUCAUCCCGGGAGACCGUGCACAUAUAUUCUGCGGAUGUGCGCAAUCCCUUCAUGAUCUGGGAAAAAUUGAAAGAUGGCAACAGUGUAGAGCGACAUCGGGGUUUUAUGUCAUCCCGGGAGACCGUGCACAUAUAUUCUGCGGAUGUGCGCAAUCCUAUAUAUCU
rnacentral:lncRNA from 1 species